UUUACUCUAGUGCUUUAUGACUUUGCAUACACCAAAGUAAUGUUUGUUGUUAUAAAUAUGAACGCCUAACCUUGCUACUAUUAAUUUCAGGGGCGGCAAAGAUUUUUGACUUUGUGUUUCCAUAACAUAUAUAUUCUUUUACAAUACAUGCUAUAUCUUUAAAGUUCACUUUUUUUAAAGGUCUUUCUAUUUAUGUUAAUCUAAAAAAACUUCCCAGUAAAGUUUCCACUGUUAAUGUAAACGUUUCUUGAGUAGAAUCUACCACUAUCUUCGCAUAAAAUCAGUCAAACAAAGCUUAUGCCUCUGUAUUGGAACUGAUUUUUCUUUAAUAAUGCUAUACAAAUUUUCUUCAUUUCCUUUCUAAGACUUUAUCCAGACCUUGUUUUCUUUGAGAACUUAAAAUUUUUUUUUUGUACUUCUAAAGAAGGUAAUUAUUCGAUGAUUCAAUUUGUUUUAAAAGCAAGUUGCUAAACAAUUUUUCUCAAGAUUAUUACUAACAAAGAAUAUCGACGCUGAAAUAUUCAGUAACAAAGCUGCUUAUAAAGACAUAUUCUUACCUCUUUUCCUUCGUAAUCUCAGAUAUAGUUAUUCCUGAAAAGAAUAAAUAAUCUUUAAUUCUUUUUUUUUAAUAACAAAUUAGUAUAAUUUAACUUAUAGAAUUAAUAAUAUGGACUAUUGCUGAGUGAAAAUAAGAAAAAAUAUGAGCACUCCUAAGGUUGUUGCAAACAUAGUAUUCAAACUUGAGCCUGAUACUUUCGGUUUUCUAGAAUCAAUAAUAAAAGCGUGCUAGGGUUUUUUUAAUGUAUUUAUCUCAGCGUUAAAAGUGCAUACAUGAGCAAUUUUCUUGUUUUUUGUCAUCCCCCCAAAAAAUUAAGAAAUAUGUCAUUGAAUUGACACUAAAUCUCAAUUUUACUCUUAAAAAAAUGUGAAGCAACAGCACAAGUACAGAUAAUGAUGAGAACGUUUUAAAGCAAACAAAGAAGUUGAACCAUGUGUGAAAACGAAAAAUCGUUUACGCGGCAUCCUUUCUAAAUGUAAAGUUAUUUAUAACAAAAACAUAUGCUCUGUGUAAAGGAAGAACAAGCGUUGUUGAGAAGAAACAGUUAGUUAAAAACCUAAAAACACUUUUGGGGCACUGGUUGUUUAAGAUUUCGGAUUAAAUCUCAUUAUUCAUUCACAGUGGCGAAGAAGUAGGAAUUGGGGUAGAACACGUCUUAAAACUGAAAAUAAAAAAAAGUAGUAAUUUAAAACAUGAAGAAAUGGAAAAAAAAAGUAAAACUGCGGUAUGCGCACGAAAUAUAUCAACACCAAAUAUGUGACUAUGAGCAUUACAGUGAAGUAGUCUGCAUACAUGAAAACAAAAUCUCGAGAGCUUGUGCUUGUUGUCAAGACAAAGAAUAGUCGUGAAUCAACAUACCAAAAUGAUGCAACCGAAUUUCAAAGAGUAUUUUAAGUAUUGAGAAAUCUCUCUGAUUCAUUUAAGAGCUUCAAUUUUUUUUUCAUCAAGUUCAAUUGAGGAACUUAUUUCAAAAUGGAGACUAUGAUAGAACUUUCUAGAACAAUUCACGACAAAAUUACAAAACGGUAUCAAUAGAAGAGUGAGAUAAGGGAAAUUAGAAAAGCUCCUAUUCGUCGAAACAAAAGAAAACCCACUCUGUUUCAGUGUGCUUAUGAAAAGCGCAAAACGCAUUCUUUUCUCAGUAACAUAAAAAUAAAGGGUAAUUUUUUUGUCCAGCUUACAGGUAGCUAGGAAACGACGAAACAUGCCGUUUCAUUCAGUCUUCCUCUUGAGGAGUCGUUCGUAAAGCCGAAUUAUGAGCUAUGAAAAGAUGCCGCAUAGUGUAACACUUAAUUCCUUUGUUUAAUCAAUUUCUCGGUUCUUACAUACUAUGAGUUUUUAAAAAAUAAAUGUUAAAAAUACUGGGCACAAACACAAUAGACAAAUUAAGAACUGAAUGCAAUAAUUGGUAGUUUUAGUGAUUAGUGAAGAUUUUAAAAAUCGCUACAAACAUGGUCGAAGAAAUUUUAGA